rnacentral:lncRNA from 1 species
GAUGGCCUAGCUGAACGAAAAAAAAAUUAUGUUUUGCACUGUAGCUGAAAAAAAAAUUAUACUGUCACCUGCUUGAAAAAAAAAUUGUGCACUGCUUAAGUUGAGAAUUGUGUAAAUAACAACAGUUGAGACAGUGAAACAGCAGAUUAUAAACAUCUGUCCAGUCUACAGAUUAAGCUAAGAUUUAUAUUUAUACCUUAUUACUUUUUGUAUUUUCCUGUAAUAGUGUUUGAUCCAGAAAUAUUUAAAAGCAUUCCAAAUCUCCCGCAUGUAUGCUACUAGAUUAAGACAUACUUAAAACUGCAACUAUUAUAAACAUGAUAUGGUCAUUUUAUAACAGGGAUAGAUAUGGUAUCAUAUUAAAGCAGUCUUUUAAAGUAGCCCUGAUUGUGUAUGACACAGACUUGUAUACUGGUAGUAUUUUCCUUUGUAUCAUUCUGUAUCAUUUUUUAUACCUCUUUUUUCAAUGGAAUAUCAAUUAUCAUAGUUGGAAACAGUGGAUGUUUAUAAUUUGGAGCUACUCACUCUUACAUAUGGCAAUGGUGGCCACUUCAAUUGCAGUAUUAAAAUUCAAGGACUGUGGUACCUGUAUGACGGACUCAGAGAAUAUCAUAAUGUAGAAAGUGGGCUAAAAAAAAACAACAGAGACAACAGCCAAUGCCAGGAUAUAGACAGAGCCAUGCACUUUACAUUUUACAUCAAUUAAAAAAUUAAAAUGAAUUCUAUGUAAAUUUUAUGGUUUUGAGGGAUAAAAAUGUAUUUCUGUUCCACAUUACAGGAAAAAAAAUUUUGCUUUCCUUCUCAUAAGAAAAAAAAAAAAAUUAUCGGAGGAAGGUUCUGAAAAAAAAUUUAUGAACAUAACAAAAAUCCCAGGCCCCCCCCCCCCCCGAUAAGAAAAUGGUUGUUGCCUUAGACAACAUAUUUUAAAACAACCCGUGCUUCAUUCAAAACCUUUAAAACACGAUGUUAUAUCUUCAUCAUUUAUAUUUGGCCGGACAAAUAGCGAAAAACCGUAAAAAUACUAUUUGUCCGGCUUGCCGGAUGAAUAGACAUUUUUGACUAUUUGUCCGACUAGCCGGACGAAUAGCCACUGCCU